UAGAUACCUGGUAGUCCGCACAGUAAACGAUGGAUGCCCGCUGUUGGUCCAUUAGGGUCAGCGGCCAAGCGAAAGCAUUAAGCAUCCCACCUGGGGAGUACGCCGGCAACGGUGAAACUCAAAGGAAUUGACGGGGGCCCGCACAAGCGGAGGAACAUGUGGUUUAAUUCGAUGAUACGCGAGGAACCUUACCCGGGCUUGAAUUGCAGACGAACGCGGCAGAGAUGCCAAGGCCCUUCGGGGCGUCUGU
rnacentral:rRNA from 1 species